AUGGGCGUGACCCACUGUGGCGCUGUUAAACUGCUGUCAAAUGGUGUUAUUAUUAACGUCCGUGUUCAUCAGGUACAUUUUAGUGAUGUGAGAUAAAGUAUGUGUUGUGGCUAACCUAAUUUCAGAGACUUAGCAGCAC